GGGAUAUUGCGCAAUGGGCGAAAGCCUGACGCAGCGACGCCGCGUGGGUGAUGACGGCCUUCGGGUCGUAAAGCCCUGUCGAGGGGAAAGAAUCGGUGGAGGCCGAACACGCCUUUGCCCUGACGGUACCCCUAAAGGAAGCACCGGCUAACUCCGUGCCAGCAGCCGCGGUAAUACGGAGGGUGCGAGCGUUGUUCGGAAUCACUGGGCGUAAAGCGCGUGUAGGCGGUUCGGUAAGUCUGAUGUGAAAGCCCGAGGCUCACCCUCGGAAGUGCAUUGGAAACUGCCGAGCUAGAGUCCCGGAGAGGAGGGUGGAAUUCCUGGUGUAGCGGUGAAAUGCGUAGAUAUCAGGAGGAACACCGGCGGCGAAGGCGGCCCUCUGGACGGUGACUGACGCUGAGACGCGAAAGCGUGGGGAGCAAAC
rnacentral:rRNA from 1 species